rnacentral:rRNA from 1 species
GACGAACGCUGGCGGCAUGCCUAAUACAUGCAAGUCGAGCGAACAGAUGAAGUGCUUGCACUUCUGACGUUAGCGGCGAACGGGUGAGUAACACGUAAGGAAUCUACCUAUAAGCGGGGGAUAACAUUCGGAAACGGGUGCUAAUACCGCAUAAUAUCUUCUUCCGCAUGGAAGAAGAUUGAAAGACGGCUCUGCUGUCACUUAUAGAUGACCUUGCGGUGCAUUAGUUAGUUGGUGGGGUAAUGGCCUACCAAGGCGAUGAUGCAUAGCCGACCUGAGAGGGUGAUCGGCCACAUUGGGACUGAGACACGGCCCAAACUCCUACGGGAGGCAGCAGUAGGUAAUCUUCCGCAAUGGGCGAAAGCCUGACGGAGCAAUGCCGCGUGAGUGAAGAAGGCCUUCGGGUCGUAAAACUCUGUUAUAAGAGAAGAACAAAUUGUAGAGUAACUGCUACAGUCUUGACGGUAUCUUAUCAGAAAGCCACGGCUAACUACGUGCCAGCCGCCGCGGUAA